CACAUCUCCAUGAUGCUUCGCAUAUUGCAAACAUGUGUCCUCGGGCAUAGUCCUCGGGAAUGUGCUCCUCCUUACUGCUGACGAUUGUUCACACUUUAGAAUUCCUACGCAAUUAGGAAUCUUAACUCCCACAAGAGUCCUAUCUCACGCAUAAUUCUGGAAUUCAACCAACUCCUUAACCAUUCAGGACUCCAACAGAUGAGGACAUCCAACUAGUUGAGUCCAAUUAGGAGAAUGUCACUUACUACUAUAAAUACAGAACCUUGAACCAUUAUUCAGGUACGUUUUCUCAUUGUUCUUCAGCAUAUAGCCUCACGCAUAUAUUUCCCUUUCUGACUUAAGCAUCGGAGGGGCGACGAGAACACACCUCGUUGCCUUUGUUUCAGGUAUCGGAAGAUCACGUUCGUGCUCAUCAUCAGUCAUCAAGCUCGGGAAAUCAACAGGUACGAUUUUUGGUAGCAUCAGUGGUUAUUUCUUUUUCUUCCAACAAACCAAUCUUCUCAAGAAAAUGAUGACACUCAACCAAAUGAUUCAAUACAGAGUAAUUGACUUGUCUAGUUUUCCCAACACAAAGUACCUUGUUUGAAAUUAUUGAGCUAGUCAAAAUAAUGGAUCAAUAAUAUACUCUUCGUCUGCAGCCUAAUCCAAAGGGAAUAUAUUUGAAGCAACGUUCACUAUGAAAAAUAGAGUUAAGUAAUCUACUGAUGCUCACCAGCCAAAAACCACCAGUGACAUGGAUAAUCAGACUCUAUGCUUGACUCAAGCUCCCCUGCUUUCUUUAUAGCACAUUCUCUAUCUUCAUCUGAUGCAUAUGCCAGAUUCGAGAGGUUUCGGGUCCGAUUGGUAGCUCUACAAAUGCAUUAACCCAAUAAAGAACAAUGAUCUACACAAUAAUUGCAUUGUUAACAAAUUAAAUUAAUGUGCUAGAAAUUUUUAAAAACCAUUUGCAAGGAGUUUACCGUCUGGCAGAGUUAGAAAAAGGCCUAAAAGGAGAGCCACAGUACUUCUUUGUAAGUCAAAUAAGAGCAUGAAAGAGAAAUACCAGUGCGGGUUUGGGAUAAGAGGAGUUUUUGAGGGCUAUAGAAGUCUUUUCCUAUUCUCUUCCAAUCUUUGCUCGCGUAAGGCCUCAUAUUUCACUUUGGACAUCACCUUUUUUGCCUUUUUCCUUUUCGAUUAUGUAAAUCUAAAGAGAGUCGGAGAAGCUAGACAAGCAAUUCUUUACAUCUCCUUUACUGGGAGUAGGUGGCUGGCCGGCGGUUCGAGUGACGCACUGUUGCGCAGAUGGUGGACGCGGCAUGGCGGCAAAGCGGUUAGGGUUGAAAAAAGGGUCGGCACGUUUUGAUUUAUGAAAGAGUGAAGGGAAGAGAAGAAGAAGAAGAAGAAGAAAAGCAGCCUAACUACCUAACGGAGUGGCCAUUGCAAUCGCCUGUCCGAUUGGAGCAGAGAGGCUAGGCCGCGAUGGGCGACUGUGAGAGGGGAUGCAAGCUGGAGUCGGUCGGGAGAGGAAAAUCACUUUUUUCCAUUCAGUUUUUUCAUUUAAUUGGAAAAAAAAUUCAAGCGGGAAGUGAAAAUUUAAGUAGGAGGGAAAUUGCAUACUGUAAAAAUUGGUUAUUC
rnacentral:lncRNA from 1 species